rnacentral:rRNA from 1 species
GACGAACGCUGGCGGCGUGCCUAAUACAUGCAAGUCGAGCGAAUGGAUGGGAGCUUGCUCCCUGAAGUUAGCGGCGGACGGGUGAGUAACACGUGGGUAACCUGCCUGUAAGAUUGGGAUAACUCCGGGAAACCGGAGCUAAUACCGGAUAACACUUUGAACCGCAUGGUUUAAAGUUGAAAGAUGGUUUCGGCUAUCACUUACAGAUGGACCCGCGGCGCAUUAGCUAGUUGGUGAGGUAACGGCUCACCAAGGCAACGAUGCGUAGCCGACCUGAGAGGGUGAUCGGCCACACUGGGACUGAGACACGGCCCAGACUCCUACGGGAGGCAGCAGUAGGGAAUCUUCCGCAAUGGACGAAAGUCUGACGGAGCAACGCCGCGUGAACGAUGAAGGCCUUCGGGUCGUAAAGUUCUGUUGUUAGGGAAGAACAAGUACCAGAGUAACUGCUGGUACCUUGACGGUACCUAACCAGAAAGCCACGGCUAACUACGUGCCAGCCGCCGCCGUAAUAC